rnacentral:rRNA from 1 species
GCGUCACAUUAGUUAGUUGGUGGGGUAAAGGCCUACCAAGACUAUGAUGUGUAGCCGGGCUGAGAGGUUGAACGGCCACAUUGGGACUGAGACACGGCCCAAACUCCUACGGGAGGCAGCAGUAGGGAAUUUUCGGCAAUGGAGGAAACUCUGACCGAGCAACGCCGCGUGAACGAUGAAGUAUUUCGGUACGUAAAGUUCUUUUAUUAGGGAAGAAUAAAUGAUGGAAAAAUCAUUCUGACGGUACCUAAUGAAUAAGCCCCGGCUAACUAUGUGCCAGCAGCCGCGGUAAUACAUAGGGGGCAAGCGUUAUCCGGAAUUAUUGGGCGUAAAGGGUGCGUAGGCGGUUAAAUAAGUUUAUGGUCUAAGUGCAAUGCUCAACAUUGUGAUGCUAUAAAAACUGUUUAGCUAGAGUAAGAUAGAGGCAAGUGGAAUUCCAUGUGUAGUGGUAAAAUGCGUAAAUAUAUGGAGGAACACCAGUAGCGAAGGCGGCUUGCUGGGUCUUUACUGACGCUGAGGCACGAAAGCGUGGGGAGCAAACAGGAUUAGAUACCCUGGUAGUCCACGCCGUAAACGAUGAGUACUAAACGUUGGGUAAAACCAGUGUUGAAGUUAACACAUUAAGUACUCCGCCUGAGUAGUACGUACGCAAGUAUGAAACUUAAAGGAAUUGACGGGACUCCGCACAAGCGGUGGAUCAUGUUGUUUAAUUCGAAGGUACCCGAAAAACCUCACCAGGUCUUGACAUGCUUCUGCAAAGCUGUAGAAACACAGUGGAGGUUAUCAGUUGCACAGGUGGUGCAUGGUUGUCGUCAGCUCGUGUCGUGAGAUGUUGGGUUAAGUCCCGCAACGAGCGCAACCCUUAUUGUUAGUUACCAGCACGUAAUGGUGGGGACUUUAGCAAGACUGCCAGUGAUGAAUUGGAGGAAGGUGGGGACGACGUCAAAUCAUCAUGCCCCUUAUGACCUGGGCUACAAACGUGAUACAAUGGCUGUUACAAAGGGUAGCUGAAGCGCAAGUUUUUGGCGAAUCUCAAAAAAACAGUCUCAGUUCGGAUUGAAGUCUGCAACU